rnacentral:misc_RNA from 1 species
GAAAAAAAAAAAAAAAAGCAAGUCAGACAAUAACCAGACACAAUAGAUUAUUCUAGAUAAGCAUGUAAAUUAAAAGUACACAGAUAAACUUCAGCAACAUUAAAAAACCCAAUAAAAAAAGCAUGAUACAGAAUGAAAAGAGUACUAGAAAAUUUCCAUCACUCUCUAUCUCCACAAUAAGGAUUUCAGACCUUCACAUGCAUCCUCAUUUAAAUAAAAUUUAAGCAUGGAAAACAUUAUUUUAGAGUUUAGUCCAUUUCCUGCAUAUUAUCCACCCUAUAGUCUGCAGCCACAUGAAAGUUUCUUAACUGGCAAUCAACUCUCUAUCUGCCACAAACGCGUCAUCUGCUAACUAAGCUGAUUCCUUACAAAUUUUAGCGCAAGUAUAAUCGAUAAACUCUAACAUCCAUUUCUCAUAUAAUCUUUUCCAAUCAAAUGCUCCACAAAUAUUAGUAAAAUUAAUUUACUAAUAACAACUUUCACCAAAUAUGCACCAAGGCCACCAACGCCCCCAAAGAGCGACCACAAGCUACAUCAUCUAGUUAAAAAUCGAAGUCCUAAAAAUACGAAACGAGCAGGAAGUAGGAAACCAAACACUAUGUUUACCACACUUACAUAUAAUCACCAAAUAAUGAUCAAACAACAAAAAUCUGACGCUUAAAAAGUUAAUCUAAUCAGCCAUCCUUUCCACAAAACGAAGAAAGCUUCAAAUCAUCGCUAAACUCAAAAAAUCCAAACAGACAUGCAAAAAUCUACAGAAUCGCAUAGCUCAAAGCCAAAAAAA